GGCGACAAGCAGCGAGCGUGUGGUUAAUUCGAUGCAACGCGAAGAACCGUUACCAGGGCUUGACAUGCUUGAAGUAGAAACUCGAAAGAGGGACGACCUGUAUCAACCAGGAGCUUGCACAGGUGCUGCAUGGCUGUCGUCAGCUCGUGCCGUGAGGUGUUAGGUUAAGUCCUGCAACGAGCGCAACCCUCGUCGCUAGUUAAUUUUCUAGCGAUACUGCCCGUAUAACGCGGAGGAAGGUGGGGAUGACGUCAAGUCAGCAUGGCCCUUACGUCCUGGGCUACACACACGCUACAAUGGGUGAUACAAAAGGUUGCAAUAGAGUGAUCUGGAGCUAAUCCUGAAAAUCAUCCUCAGUUCGGAUUGUAGGCUGAAACUGCCUGCAUGAAGUUGGAGUUGCUAGUAACCGCAGGUCAGCACACUGCGGUGAAUACGUUCUCGGGCCUU
rnacentral:rRNA from 1 species